rnacentral:lncRNA from 1 species
AUUGCUCUGUCACCCAGGCUGAAGUGCAGUGGCAUAAUCACAGCUGACUGCAGCUGCAACCUCAACCUCCCCGGCCUCAAGUGAUCCUCCUGCCUCGACUUCUCAGGUAGCUGGGACUACAGGCACACACCACCACACCUAGCUAAUUUUUGGAUUUUUUGUAAAGAUGGGGUCUUCCUAUGUUGCCCCAGCAGGUCUUCAAGUCCUGGUGUCAAGCUAUCCUCCCGCCUCAGCCUCUCAAAGUGCUAGGAUUACUAGUUGUGAGCCACCAUGCCCAGUCGAAUGCUAGCUUCUGUGAUGCUCCUUUUGGCUUGUUAAACAUAACUGACCUUAGUCCUCCAGUUUUAUAUGAGAAGGAUACUUUUGAAGUCAAAUGCUAGUAUGAUGACUGAAGUGAGGAAAAGAUAUUGGAGCUGAAGAGAUUUACAUGAGUAGAACCGUUCCUAAUAUUACUUUAAACAGAAGAGUAAACAUUGAAUGAUGGGGCAGUGAAGUACACCCGUUGCAGUCUGUUCUAACUGGAUAGUCACAAAAACAACAGAGGAAAGGACACUCAGUUUGGUAUUUGGAGAAGAAAAGCCAGUACCUGAUAGUUUUAGCUCCCAUUAACAGGUACAUAUAAUAUUACCAAGUACAAAGCAGCAUCGUCUAAUGAAAUGAGACU